CUGCUGCCUUCCGUAGGAGUCUGGUCCGUGUCUCAGUACCAGUGUGGGGGACCUUCCUCUCAGAACCCCUACGCAUCGUCGCCUCGGUGGGCCCGUUACCCCGCCGACUAGCUAAUGCGACGCAUGGCCAUCCUAUGCCGGAGUUCGCCUCCUUUGACCCCCUGGACGAUGUCUCCAAAUGGUGUUAUGCGGUAUUAGACCGGAAUUUCUUCCGGCUUAUCCCCCUGCAUAGGGCAGGUUCCCAUACGUGUUACUCACCCGUGCGCCGG
rnacentral:rRNA from 1 species